CUUGAAAAGUAUAGUAUGGAAAACUCUUCUAAUUAUUUGUCUAAAGCAUUACUUCUCAACCAAUGCCAAUUAAAUUAUUUCUGGAAACAUUUUUGGUUGUCACAACUGGUGAGGGAGCAGGGCUUGUCACUGGCAUCUAAUAGAUAGAUGCCACAGUCCUUCUAAAGAUCCUACAGUGCACAGGACAUCCUCAAUCCCCCACCCGAACACACAGUUAUUCAGCCAAAAUGGUAAUAAAGCUAAUAAAGUUCAGAAACCCCUGUUCUAAAGGUUCACACUCUGGUCUGAAUGUGUCUCUUUAAAAUUAUGUUGAAACCCAACACCCAGAGUGACAGUAUCAGAAGGUGGAAUCUUUAGGAGGUGAUUAGUCAUAGGGACAUGCCCUCACAAAUGGGAUCAGUACCCUUAUAACAGAGACCCCAGAGAGAUAACUCAGCCCUUCAGCCAGGUGAGGACUCAACUAGAAGGCACCCUCCAUGAGGAAGAGAGCCCUACUAGACACUGAGUCUUGCUGGUGCCUUGAUUUUGGAUCCCCCAGGCUCCUAAAUUGUGAGAAAUAAUUUUCUACUUAUAAGCUACUCAGUUUAUGGUA
rnacentral:lncRNA from 1 species